rnacentral:rRNA from 1 species
AUUGAACGCUGGCGGCAUGCCUUACACAUGCAAGUCGAACGGCAGCACGGGUGCUUGCACCUGGUGGCGAGUGGCGAACGGGUGAGUAAUACAUCGGAACAUGUCCUGUAGUGGGGGAUAGCCCGGCGAAAGCCGGAUUAAUACCGCAUACGAUCUACGGAUGAAAGCGGGGGACCUUCGGGCCUCGCGCUAUAGGGUUGGCCGAUGGCUGAUUAGCUAGUUGGUGGGGUAAAGGCCUACCAAGGCGACGAUCAGUAGCCGGUCUGAGAGGACGACCAGCCACACUGGGACUGAGACACGGCCCAGACUCCUACGGGAGGCAGCAGUGGGGAAUUUUGGACAAUGGGCGAAAGCCUGAUCCAGCAAUGCCGCGUGUGUGAAGAAGGCCUUCGGGUUGUAAAGCACUUUUGUCCGGAAAGAAAUCCUUGGCCCUAAUACGGUCGGGGGAUGACGGUACCGGAAGAAUAAGCACCGGCUAACUACGUG